rnacentral:rRNA from 1 species
CCAUGGGCAGGUUGAAGGUUGGGUAACACUAACUGGAGGACCGAACCGACUAAUGUUGAAAAAUUAGCGGAUGACCUGUGGCUGGGGGUGAAAGGCCAAUCAAACCGGGAGAUAGCUGGUUCUCCCCGAAAGCUAUUUAGGUAGCGCCUCGUGAAUUCAUCUCCGGGGGUAGAGCACUGUUUCGGCUAGGGGGCCAUCCCGGCUUACCAACCCGAUGCAAACUGCGAAUACCGGAGAAUGUUAUCACGGGAGACACACGGCGGGUGCUAACGUCCGUCGUGAAGAGGGAAACAACCCAGACCGCCAGCUAAGGUCCCAAAGUCAUGGUUAAGUGGGAAACGAUGUGGGAAGGCCCAGACAGCCAGGAUGUUGGCUUAGAAGCAGCCAUCAUUUAAAGAAAGCGUAAUAGCUCACUGGUCGAGUCGGCCUGCGCGGAAGAUGUAACGGGGCUAAACCAUGCACCGAAGCUGCGGCAGCGAACGUAUCACCCAAGACAACUUUACGGAGUUGACGAUUGACGGAGCGAAGCGACGUCAAAGCGUUCAUUAAAGUCGAGUUGGCUUAGGGAUACGUUCGUUGGGUAGGGGAGCGUUCUGUAAGCCUGUGAAGGUGUGUCGUGAGGCAUGCUGGAGGUAUCAGAAGUGCGAAUGCUGACAUAAGUAACGAUAAAGCGGGUGAAAAGCCCGCUCGCCGGAAGACCAAGGGUUCCUGUCCAACGUUAAUCGGGGCAGGGUGAGUCGACCCCUAAGGCGAGGCCGAAAGGCGUAGUCGAUGGGAAACGGGUUAAUAUUCCCGUACUUGGUGUUACUGCGAAGGGGGGACGGAGAAGGCUAUGUUGGCCGGGCGACGGUUGUCCCGGUUUAAGCGUGUAGGUGUGUGUUCCAGGUAAAUCCGGUUCACUUUAACACUGAGGCGUGACGACGAGGCACUACGGUGCUGAAGCAACAAAUGCCCUGCUUCCAGGAAAA